rnacentral:rRNA from 1 species
GACGAACGCUGGCGGCGUGCUUAACACAUGCAAGUCGAGCGAUGAAGUUCCUUCGGGAAUGAAUUAGCGGCGGACGGGUGAGUAACACGUGGGUAACCUGCCUCAUAGAGGGGAAUAGCCUUUCGAAAGGAAGAUUAAUACCGCAUAAGAUUGUAGUAUCGCAUGAUACAGCAAUUAAAGGAGUAAUCCGCUAUGAGAUGGACCCGCGUCGCAUUAGCUAGUUGGUGAGGUAACGGCUCACCAAGGCGACGAUGCGUAGCCGACCUGCGAGGGUGAUCGGCCACAUUGGGACUGAGACACGGCCCAGACUCCUACGGGAGGCAGCAGUGGGGAAUAUUGCACAAUGGGGGAAACCCUGAUGCAGCAACGCCGCGUGAGUGAUGACGGUCUUCGGAUUGUAAAACUCUGUCUUCAGGGACGAUAAUGACGGUACCUGAGGAGGAAGCCACGGCUAACUACGUGCCAGCCGCCGCGGUAA